UGUCGCAGCGCUCCAGUAGCACGGUGG
rnacentral:sRNA from 1 species